AAGUAAAUAGGGAAACGUUUGAAAUAAAGAUUACUGAAAAUAAUGCAUCAAUUAUAUAUAUAUAAUACUUUAUUUUUACUUUUCAGGAGGCUAUUAUUGAACAACUCCAUUCAAACUGCACAGUAAGAAAUGUCAGCAUGUCGAAGGAGCCAAAAAAUACACAGUCCAUCCACAGAAAAAUCUGCAGGGUUAACGGAAAACUGAGCAGAAUCGAGAGGGAGUCAGAUAAUGUAAAUGGACAACUGAAAGUUGUGUUAUAUAAACUUGUGGAAGAAAUAAAUGCAUCCUUGAGAUGUUGGUGCCAUGGAAAGAGAGAGGGGACAAAUAAGCCAAUACAGCAAAUACGAAAGUGGAAGCCUUGCAGAGUGAAAGACAUUCUCGCCAACUUACAGAGACACUUUGAACAAUACAAUGCCUAUCUGUCACUCAGCACAGACCUUCCAGAGCGUGGGAAGACU